rfam:NL63-related bat coronavirus strain BtKYNL63-9a, complete genome.
CAAUUACGUGGUUUUCAUGAUUUUAUUGUGAGAGCCAUGUUUUGCUAGUUGCAACCCCGUGCGCUUAACGCACGAUUAGGGUUUAGUCUUACACACAAUGGUAGGCCAGUGGUAGUGAGAGUGUAAGUAGCUUACUAUCAUAUUAACAAGUCUAGGGGAAUUCAAAAUUUUUCUGCACUAUGUUAGCUGGAGUAAUU